rnacentral:rRNA from 1 species
GACGCUGGCGGCAGGCCUAACACAUGCAAGUCGAGCGGAAACGAGUUAUCUGAACCUUCGGGGAACGAUAACGGCGUCGAGCGGCGGACGGGUGAGUAAUGCCUAGGAAAUUGCCCUGAUGUGGGGGAUAACCAUUGGAAACGAUGGCUAAUACCGCAUAAUGCCUACGGGCCAAAGAGGGGGACCUUCGGGCCUCUCGCGUCAGGAUAUGCCUAGGUGGGAUUAGCUAGUUGGUGAGGUAAGGGCUCACCAAGGCGACGAUCCCUAGCUGGUCUGAGAGGAUGAUCAGCCACACUGGAACUGAGACACGGUCCAGACUCCUACGGGAGGCAGCAGUGGGGAAUAUUGCACAAUGGGCGCAAGCCUGAUGCAGCCAUGCCGCGUGUGUGAAGAAGGCCUUCGGGUUGUAAAGCACUUUCAGUCGUGAGGAAGGUGGUAGUGUUAAUAGCACUAUCAUUUGACGUUAGCGACAGAAGAAGCACCGGCUAACUCCGUGCCAGCAGCCGCGGUAAUACGGAGGGUGCGAGCGUUAAUCGGAAUUACUGGGCGUAAAGCGCAUGCAGGUGGUUUGUUAAGUCAGAUGUGAAAGCCCGGGGCUCAACCUCGGAAUAGCAUUUGAAACUGGCAGACUAGAGUACUGUAGAGGGGGGUAGAAUUUCAGGUGUAGCGGUGAAAUGCGUAGAGAUCUGAAGGAAUACCCGGUGGCGAAGGCGGCCCCCUGGACGGAUACUGACACUCAGAUGCGAAAGCGUGGGGAGCAAACAGGAUUAG